GGUUAUACAGUGAGGUGGCUUGAAAUAUUUAUCAUUUUUGAGGUGCAAUAAGCAUGUCCAAAGUCUAUAGAAGUUAUCUUGGUUCCAAAAAGAUGGGGUUUAGGAAAUAGAAAAGAUACCAAAGAUAUAUGAGUAUUUGGUUGGAGAGAAUCAAUGAAUGUCCUAUAAUUUGCGGUGGCAUCAGGUGUUCUUGGCUUCUCUGUGGGCCUGUGCUACAGGACCUCUUUUAAGGGGUUUCUAUAGGUGUUAUUCAGAUGGAUUGUGCUAUAGAAACUUAACCUCCAUGUUGUACUCUAAAA
rnacentral:misc_RNA from 1 species